rnacentral:rRNA from 1 species
UACGGAGGGUGCAAGCGUUAUCCGGAUUUACUGGGUUUAAAGGGUGCGUAGGUGGGUCUGUAAGUCAGUGGUGAAAUCUCCGGGCUUAACCCGGAAACUGCCAUUGAUACUAUAGGUCUUGAAUAUCCUGGAGGUGAGCGGAAUAUGUCAUGUAGCGGUGAAAUGCUUAGAUAUGACAUAGAACACCAAUUGCGAAGGCAGCUUGCUACAGGAAUAUUGACACUGAGGCACGAAAGCGUGGGGAUCAAACAGG